AGUUUUGCUUUGUGGGGCUUUAGCAGAGUUUCAUUGUAUGGUUCUCCUUAUGAGCUUCAGCUGCUGCUAAAGCCCUUCCUUGACCUUCUCUACUAUCAUAGCCUGUGUGAUGCUGUCUGGGAACCCUACUCUAGGACACUCGAAUUCCCAGAGAUGGAGCACAGAGACAUUUAGAUGUCUCUUUCUAUAAAAAUCUUCUAUUUACCCACACUCUAGUUAAACGUGUACUACUCAACCUGGCUGCUUCUCUCCCUGUCUUUUGUGUGUGUGUAUGGGGUGAGGGAAAUCUAGCUACUUUCUCCCCGUCUCAGGAUUCUGUUAUUUUAUUAUUAAGCUCCAUCAUCUGCAGAGCAUUACUCUCCUUUACUGUUUAGGGGUUGAAGAAAGGUUUGGUUGAAUGAAUAAGUAAAUAGUGGCAAUUAUUUCUUUUCCCUUAUGGGAGCUGAAUCUAGCAAGGACCCUUUCAUGUCACCCCUUUAAAAUCGCCAAAUUGUUGCUCCAAACCAUUGAAUGGCUUUUCAGCUGAAUGAAUCAAGUAACAUACAGGUGGCUAUUUUCAUGGUUUUGCUGUUGUUUUUCUAUUAGAUCUUGGAAUUUUCUUUUGUUUGCUCCUGCAUUUGACUAACUGUAAUAAAAAAAAAGAGUCAGUGCUUUGAAAGGGGGCCCCAAGUUGGUCCCAGUAUGUCACUUUAAUAGACUUUAAACAUUCAAAAGUCUGAACAAGGAAAAUGACACUAGAAUGUAUAACUCCAUGUAUGCCAUAUGCUAUAUUUAAAUGUUUCAUUUCUUGUGGUGAAAUGUAGCUUUAUUAUUAAAAUGACCUUUUCUUUGGAACUUUUUGUUUUGACUUGUACCUUAAAGCUUUUGAAAAGAUCCUUAAUUCUGAGAAUUACAAACAGAAGAUAGAAAGAAGUCUUAAAGCUGGUACAGUUAAAGAAUGUAUUAGUCUCAGAAGCUGUGUAUGUUUAUGUGAUAGAAUCUAAAUAAAAUACAGACAUCU
rnacentral:lncRNA from 1 species